rnacentral:lncRNA from 1 species
AGCCCACCCAGUUCUCUUUUGCUUGCUUGGCCUGUAUGCCCCUCGCCGGUUGUACGGUCUGGCUGGACUCAGCGAGGGAGUCAUGGUUGCUGGCCGGACUUUCUCUUUAAAGACUGCACGGGACGUGGCCUAUGGUGCGGGGAGAGUCCUCGCCCAGCCAACUAGUAAUUGUCAGGAUCGUGCGGAGCAAACCUUAAAGCGUUUCAAAACCCUCUUUGGUACUCUAGCGAGAACUUUUUUUGAGAAUCUCCCCUCAGCCUUGAGAGUUUUACUCCGAAAGAAGUGGUCCAGUGCCAUCCUGUGCUGUUGAAUGAUACAGCAUAUGUUUUUAUAAAGACUCGGUGUAGCUAA